rnacentral:lncRNA from 1 species
UCUCACCCAUCCCUACACCCCCCAACACAUGUUAAACGUCAUGUAGCUUGAGAAAAGCGCUGAGGCACAGAAAGAGGAGGGACCUCGAGAGUGAGACGGAGAGAGACAGGGAGAGAGGCGGUGUGAGAGCGGCAGAGUAUGUAACGCGAGUGUGAGCGAGAGAGGGGCAGAGAGGGAGAGAGACAGAGGCGGAAGAGUGAUAAACGGCGUUGAGAGGCAGCAGUGUGCAUGUUGUCAGAGGGAGAGAGAGAGAGAGAACGAGAGAGGCAGCGUGAUAGAAACACACACAGUGUGUGAGAGUGAGGACAGGCAGAGGUUGUGUCUAGAGCAAGUCAGAGAGAGAGGAAGAGGGAGUGCAAUAGAAAGAGAGAGGCUCAGAGAGAGACAGAGAGGGCGAUCGCUGUUCUGCGCAGUUGUCACACCGAGCAGAGGGCUGCAUUGGGGAUGUAAACUUUAUCGUGGGUGGGAUCAGUGGCUUGCAGCAGCUGCUGUGCGGUGCAGCGUGCAGCAGAAUUACCAUGUGUGUCAACUGAAGACAGAACACCAGGAUGCAGCACCUCAGGCAUGGGAGAAGCUGGCCGUGGCUCGCCUGCAGAGGGAAGUCGCACGAAGCAAGAGCGAAGGAACAAUGGUAUAGUUGAUGCUGUCUUACACAUGCACACACAUGCACACACACACACACACACACACACACACACACACACACACACACACACACACACACACACACACACACACACACACACACACACACACACACACACACACACACACACACACACACACACACACACACACACACACACAUCAGCCUAAAACCCACAGCCCACAGUUGUAGGCAUGCCAGUGCUGCUCGGUCAUCGACCAAGGUCACUGCACUGAUAACUUUCCUGAACUAAAAACAUAUAUUUACGUUGGGUCUUGCAGCACUUUUCUGGGUGGCAAUUCUAGGUCUUGCUCCCAUCGCCAUGGUAUUGUCAACCCAUAUUAUGGGACAUUAGUGCAGCAGAUUUCAGGGAUAACAUCAAAUGUAACGCAUGCACACACACACACAAACACAGUGGUUAUAUAACAAGGGGAAAGUAGACCAGGGAGCCAGACGUGCAGACGCGGAGGGCGUGAGGUAGGGCUCGGAGAGAGGGGACCGACAGUGUGACAGAGCAGAUACCAGCUGACCACGGCCUUGGACUCUGUUUACAACUUUAGAACUCCGGUAAAUUCAUUACAUCCCCAAAUAGAUUCAUAAAAGAGCACUACGGCAGCAACCCUAAAGCA